AGCGAACAUUGGCGGUAGGCUUAACACAUGCAAGUCGAGCGAGGCGUAAUAGUCGAGCGGCGAACGGGUGCGUAAUACAUGGGAAUCUACCCUGAAGUGGGGGAUAACGUUCAGAAAUGGACGCUAAUACCGCAUAAUCCACAUUGGGAAAGCGUUGCAGCGCUUUAGGAUGAGCCCAUGGCUGAUUAGCUAGUUGGUGAGGUAACGGCUCACCAAGGCGACGAUCAGUAGCUGGUCUGAGAGGAUGACCAGCCACACUGGAACUGAGACACGGUCCAGACUCCUACGGGAGGCAGCAGUGGGGAAUCUUGCGCAAUGGGGGCAACCCUGACGCAGCCAUACCGCGUGAGUGAUGAAGGUCUUCGGAUUGUAAAGCUCUUUCGGCGGGGACGACGAUGACGGUACCCGCAAAAGAAGUCACGGCUAACUUCGUGCCAGCCGCCGCCGUAA
rnacentral:rRNA from 1 species